GCUGGAGUGGGUUAGGCGGCUGACUUUGUGUGCUGGCACAAUAGGUGCCUGACUUCUGAGGAUGUGGGUUGAAUCCCGAUGGGACUCAACCCAACAAAAGUAAUGGAAUCUGUACUUUAGUGAGGGGAGACAACUC